UACGAAGGGGGCCAGCGUUGCUCGGAAUGACUGGGCGUAAAGGGCGCGUAGGCGGAUGGCACAGUCAGAUGUGAAAUUCCCGGGCUUAACCUGGGGGCUGCAUUUGAUACGUGUGAUCUAGAGUGAGGAAGAGGGUCGUGGAAUUCCCAGUGUAGAGGUGAAAUUCGUAGAUAUUGGGAAGAACACCGGUGGCGAAGGCGGCGACCUGGUCCUUGACUGACGCUGAGGCGCGAAAGCGUGGGGAGCAAACAGG
rnacentral:rRNA from 1 species